CCUACGGGUGGCAGCAGUGGGGAAUAUUGCACAAUGGGCGAAAGCCUGAUGCAGCAACGCAGCGUGAAGGAAGACGGUUUUCGGAUUGUAAACUUCUAUCAAUAGGGAAGAAAGAAAUGACGGUACCUAAAUAAGACGCCCAGGCUAACUACGUGCCAGCAGCCGCGGUAAGACGUAGGGGGCAAGCGUUAUCCGGACUUACUGGGUGUAAAGGGAGAGUAGGUGGCAAGGUAAGCGAUAUGUGAAAGCCUUAAGCUUAACUUAAGGAUUGCAUAACGAACUAUCUAGCUAGAGUACAGGUGAGGAAGGCGGAAUUCGUAGGGUAGCGGUGAAAUGCGUAGAUAUUAGGAAGAACACCAGUGGCGAAGGCGGCUUUCUGGACUGAAACUGACGCUGAGGCUCGAAAGCGUGGGGAGCGAACAGGAUUAGAUACCCCUGUAGUC
rnacentral:rRNA from 1 species